rnacentral:rRNA from 1 species
CGUCCGUCGCUACUACCGAUGAAACGGUCCGGUGAGAUCCUCGGAUCUGGUAGAGGAUGGCCCGGAGAAGACAACCAAACCCGAUCGCUUAGAGCAAUUAGAAGUCGUAACAA